GUCUAAAUAGCUCAGUGGUUAGAGCAAAAGAUUGAAAAUCUUUGGGACAGUGGUUCAAACCCACUUUUAGACA
rnacentral:tRNA from 1 species